rnacentral:rRNA from 1 species
CCCAGACUCCUACGGGAGGCAGCAGUGGGGGAUAUUGCACAAUGGGGGGAACCCUGAUGCAGCGACGCCGCGUGGGUGAAGGAGCGUUUCGGCGCGUAAAGCCCUGUCGGCAGGGAAGAAGGAGGACGGUACCUGACUAAGAAGCCCCGGCUAACUACGUGCCAGCAGCCGCGGUAAUACGUAGGGGGCAAGCGUUAUCCGGAUUUACUGGGUGUAAAGGGGGCGCAGACGGCAGCGCAAGCCAGGAGUGAAAGCCCGGGGCCCAACCCCGGGACUGCUCUUGGAACUGCGCGGCUGGAGUGCAGGAGGGGCAGGCGGAAUUCCUGGUGUAGCGGUGAAAUGCGUAGAUAUCAGGAGGAACACCGGUGGCGAAGGCGGCCUGCUGGACUGCGACUGACGUUGAGGCCCGAAAGCGUGGGGAGCAAACAGGAUUAGAUACCCCAGUAU